CUCUCGUCCUCCACGUCCUCUGUCUCGGUGGAGACGAUAGUACCCAGGGACAUGAGGAAGACACCACAUGAUGCUGAUGGCUGUCAUGGGAACCACUCACAUCAUCACUGGCCUGUCUGCUGCCAGUGCCGCAGUAACCAGGCUCUUGGCGUUUCUGUGAUUGGUCGAGGCUGUUUCCCCGGGUCUCAGUAAUUUACAGUUUCAUCUAUAUGGAACAGGACGGUGACAUGGAAGAGCAGAGCCGAGUCUAAGCAGAGACCAUAGAAACCAAAGACACUAUAGAGAGACUAUAGGCAGGUGCCUGGGGUGCCAUCUUUGACCACAAAUCAAUAAAUAA